rnacentral:rRNA from 1 species
GACGGAGGAUGCAAGCGUUAUCCGGAAUGAUUGGGCGUAAAGCGUCCGCAGGUGGCAGUUCAAGUCUGCUGUCAAAGACCGGGGCUUAACUUCGGAAAGGCAGUGGAAACUGAACAGCUAGAGUAUGGUAGGGGCAGAGGGAAUUCCUGGUGUAGCGGUGAAAUGCGUAGAGAUCAGGAAGAACAUCGGUGGCGAAGGCGCUCUGCUGGACCAUAACUGACAUCAGGGACGAAAGCUAGGGGAGCGAAUGGG